rnacentral:tRNA from 1 species
AGCCUUGAGGUGUAUUACAUAUCAGAUUGCAAAUCUGAAGAAGCAGGCUAGUGACCUGCCGGGGCUU